CAGUCGCCACGGGAAUACGAAGGGUGCUAGCGUUGUUCGGAUUUACUGGGCGUAAAGGGCGCGUAGGCGGACUGAUAAGUCAGGGGUGAAAUCCCAAGGCUCAACCUUGGAACUGCCUUUGAUACUGUUUGUCUUGAGUUCGAGAGAGGUAAGUGGAACUGCGAGUGUAGAGGUGAAAUUCGUAGAUAUUCGCAAGAACACCAGUGGCGAAGGCGGCUUACUGGCUCGAAACUGACGCUGAGGCGCGAAAGCGUGGGGAGCAAACAGGAUUAGAUACCCCAGUAGUCCCUGUCUCUUAUAA
rnacentral:rRNA from 1 species